CCAGGGGACAUAUAUGCUGUCUGUGUGGCCUAUCAUGAGCUCCCCUGCGACAUUGGCAUGGGUACAGAACCCAAAAGAACCACGGGGAGCUGAGAAGGUGUGGUACCAUUGCCCAGUGCAGAAGCCCUUGGUGGCAGCACUGUUAUCCAGAGAUAAAAAGUUGACCUGUAUUUUGCCUGAGGGACAUGAUUUACCCCUCUUAUUACCUGUGCUUGCUUUGUCGUUUCGGCCAUAGGUUGGCAUGCUCCAACAUCAUUGUGGACAGGGCCCACACCUAUGGCAAAGUGACCAAUGUCUCCAACUGUUGGAUCUGCACUGUCCUUCCAGCAGCAGCUGUAGAUGGCCUGCCGUGGCAUGUACAUUCAGCUUCUGUGAAAAACUGGAUGAGGCUAGAGACUUGGGGUCUCAUGGACAAUGGUUGGGAUGCAACAUGGCAAACUUUGGAUAGGGGGCAUUGCAAAACCUGCAUUGCAAAAAAUGCCUGCCCCCUGGCUGACCCAUAGCAUUCAUGAUGAAUGGGGCUGGCUAAUGAGAGAACACAUGGUGCCCCCAUUGCAGGUACCAUAAUAUAUAGAUCAACACUGGGGUAAAGUCACUGUGGGAUGGUUGCCCACCGUGGCCUGUAAAAACAUAACACAUGUCACCACACCAAGGCUGUGGUGGAACAAGCUGCCUUACCGAGGCUGAGCCCUGAUGGACUUUGUAUCCCUGGGAGUUUAUGGGUCUGAGGGGACACGGGAUGGCCAUAUCUGCCAGCCAAUUGGACUGGAUGUUUUACUUGGCGGUGCCCUUAUGUGCCUGCCACCGUACUUCCCUCAUUGCCUAGGUGCCUGCACAACUGGAAGGUGCUACAUUCCUGGUUUUCGCCAGUGUGGUGGGCCCCCUGGUGGCUCUACCCCUUAGCAAUAACUAUCAUUGGAGCAGUUUUCAUCACUGUAGAAAUGCAGAUUACAGCCCUUGCAUAACACACAGUUCAGGUCCUGAAUUACACCCGAGUUGCCCUCCUUCUAUUAAUUGAUGAGGUUGAUCAAACCAGGAAGGUAGUACUGCAAAACUGGAUGGCCUUAGACAUAGUAACAGCUGACCAAGGUGGCACCUGUGCCCUUACAGGGUCACAAUGUUGUACAUAUAUCCCUGACAACCACCAGAACAUAAUAGCAGCUUUACAAGGGGUGUUACAGGAGAUUAAGGUGAUUGAGUGCCUUAUUGAUGACCCCCUACAGAGAUGGUGGGCGUCUCUGGGCUCUAACCUACAUUGGGCCCUAAUAAUAAUGGGUAGUUAUAGCAGGAAUAUUAGUGAUAGGCUGUUGCUCCCUGUAUUGUUGCUGUGGCCUAUGGGUUCAGGGUGCCAUCAUAUGUGCACAGGUCCCCACUAAGAGGACUCCCCCGGCCUAGGGGAUGGAUUGUAAGGAACAUGGCUGUACUGCAGCCAGGCAGGCAUAGGCCGAGGUAAACAUCCUGCAUGACUCAGUGGGAUUGGAGUGCAGGUGCACAAUUCCAUGCAUUAUAUAACCACAGCUAUGUAGCCAUAACAUGGGAAGGCUCAUCACCUGGCUCUGAGCCACUAUUGUCUGUGAGGUGUAUAAAUGCAGGACUGACACUGUGAAAGAGCUGCUGAAUAAAGCCAUGUCCCAUC
rnacentral:lncRNA from 1 species